rnacentral:rRNA from 1 species
GGCAGACGGGUGAGUAACACGUGGGAACGUACCCUUUGGUUCGGGACAACUCUGGGAAACUGGAGCUAAUACCGGAUACGCCCUUUUGGGGAAAGGUUUACUGCCGAAGGAUCGGCCCGCGUCUGAUUAGCUAGUUGGUGGGGUAGCGGCCUACCAAGGCGACGAUCAGUAGCUGGUCUGAGAGGAUGAUCAGCCACACUGGGACUGAGACACGGCCCAGACUCCUACGGGAGGCAGCAGUGGGGAAUAUUGGACAAUGGGCGCAAGCCUGAUCCAGCCAUGCCGCGUGAGUGAUGAAGGCCUUAGGGUUGUAAAGCUCUUUUAUCCGGGACGAUAAUGACGGUACCGGAGGAAUAAGCCCCGGCUAACUUCGUGCCAGCAGCCGCGGUAAUACGAAGGGGGCUAGCGUUGCUCGGAAUCACUGGGCGUAAAGGGCGCGUAGGCGGCGUUUUAAGUCGGGGGUGAAAGCCUGUGGCUCAACCACAGAAUGGCCUUCGAUACUGGGACGCUUGAGUCUGGUAGAGGUUGGUGGAACUGCGAGUGUAGAGGUGAAAUUCGUAGAUAUUCGCAAGAACACCGGUGGCGAAGGCGGCCAACUGGACCGGCACUGACGCUGAGC